UCAAUAAGCGGAGGAAAAGAAACUAACAAGGAUUCCCCUAGUAACUGCGAGUGAAGCGGGAAAAGCUCAAAUUUAAAAUCUGGUGGCCUUUGGCCGUCCGAGUUGUAAUUUAGAGAAGCGUCUUCCGCGCUGGACCGUGCACAAGUCUCCUGGAAUGGAGCGUCAUAGAGGGUGAGAAUCCCGUCUUUGGCACGGAUGCCUGGUGCUUUUGUGAUGCGCUCUCGAAGAGUCGAGUUGUUUGGGAAUGCAGCUCAAAAUGGGUGGUGAACUCCAUCUAAAGCUAAAUAUUGGCGAGAGACCGAUAGCGAACAAGUACCGUGAGGGAAAGAUGAAAAGCACUUUGGAAAGAGAGUGAAACAGUACGUGAAAUUGUUGAAAGGGAAACGCUUGAAGUCAGUCGCGUCGACCGAGACUCAGCCUUGCCUUGGCUUGGUGUACUUCUCGGCCCGACGGGUCAGCAUCAAUUUUACCCCUCGGAUAAUGGCAGGGGAAAGGUGGCACCUUUACGGGUGUGUUAUAGUCUCUUGUCGCAUGUGAGGGGUGGGAUUGAGGAACUCAGCGCGCACCUCAGUGUCGGGGCUUCGGCCCACGUCACGCGCUUAGGAUGCUGGCGUAAUGGCUUUAAACGACCCGUCUUGAAACAC
rnacentral:rRNA from 1 species